GUUGCUUUUCCUUGUGGACUCUCUCUGUGAUUCAGAAUGGGGGAUGUCCAUAUUUGGAAGCACAGAUUGAUUGGAGAAGAUUUCUUGCCAGUAUCAAACAACCUUGUGUGUUCUAUCAUGAUGCACCAUGUUACCUUACUCCUUGUAUACUU